CACCAUUAACUAUCAUGUAAUCAUUUAAACCAAUUGUUCCACGAGGUAAUUUUACUGAAAACUUUACAUCUUAUUAUUUAAAUUUAUAUUUACCUAGAAGAUAAGAUUUUUGUUUGUUCACUAUGUUUUUGCAGUAACUUAAUGCUAUUAAUAUUCAAAAUUACAAAACUUAUUUGCAACGUAGUUAGGUAGGAGAUGGCUCAAAUUCAAAAAGGACUUCUACAAUUUCUACACAGAACUUAUUUUAAACACGUUGUUUAUACACUUGAUAUACUAAAACAGAAUUAUUGUAUUUUUAUUAUUUAUGUAUCUUAGAUACUAAGUUAGAUGCCAAACUAGAUAAAAUUAUGUUUCAAAACUAUUUUCAAAAUUUGAAAUUCAUAAGACAUUUUAAAUAUUAUUGUGAUUAUGGUCAAUUAAGUUCAUUAUUUUAUCUAGGAAUUAAUAUUUUCAGUGGCGGAGUUACAGAGGUAUCUAUGGGGCCUUGACCCUCUCUUCUAGAAAUCAUUGUUGUUAUUGGUACUACCGUUACUUUCAAUUUUUAACCACCUAUACUUGGCCGCCCGGUAACCCUGCGACGUGUCGUGCGUAUAUGAGAGUAUAUAUAUUAAAGAAACAACGAAAAACAAAAUUAUUUUUAUUUUACACUUCAUUCGCCACCUGAUUAUAACCAGCCAAAAGCUUUCAGUCAAGUUUAUAUUGAGAACUUUGAGUUAGAAACUAAGGACGUGCGUUUGAACCCUCAUCAAUGCCCAAAACCGAAUUUCUACUGCCACUGACCUAACACUACAACCACCUUCGUCAUCAUGAUUUCUAGUACCGAUGCUACCGCAACCGAUACCGCAGUCUAUCUACGAUUUGUACCACUUGCGCCCUUACGCCUUUGACAUUCGAUAGAAUCAACAGUAGUAUCAGAGGUGAAGUGGUAUUCGGAAACGCAUUCGGAAGACUGAGAAAAUCGUAUUUUACUGUUCAAUAGCUGUUUUAUAGCCAAUGAAGUUAAUAAUAAUGGUAAAAUGAGAGUUUCAGUAAACUCAUUUGAAUUCAAUGGUGGAAAUAAAAUUAAACCCAUUUUAAAUUGUAUGAUUAAGUUGUUCUACAUUUUUAAAAAUAAAUUUGACAGAAAUGCUGUAUGAAAAGAUACCAUGAAUCUAUAAUAUUUUUAUUUUCAUUUUUGUAAUCUAGUAAUAUCAGUAGCGUGGCGAACUAAAAAUUUUUAAAAUUCAAAGAAAAAUAUACCAAGGGAAAAGGAUCCAUCCAUUACUAUAGACAAAAACAGUGGAGAAGGGUUAACUAAUAUUAAUUGAUAUAUUUAAUCCACGGUAAUAUAAUACAACUAAUUAUAGCUUAGGUCAGUAAUGACUUAACUAUUGAAUAUCAUAUUACGUUUACAAAUUAAGGGAUACACCAAUCACCAUCUAGCCACCUAUUAAAAAAAAAAAAAAAAACAAAAGCA